GUCUGGUGAUGAUGGCGAAGAGGUCACACCCGUUCCCAUGCCGAACACGGAAGUUAAGCUCUUCAGCGCCGAUGGUAGUUGGGGGUUUCCCCCUGCGAGAGUAGGACGUCGCCAGGC
rnacentral:rRNA from 1 species